rnacentral:SRP_RNA from 11 species
GCUGGGCGUGGUGGCGUGCGCCUGUAAUCUAGUUACUUGGAGGCCAAGGUGUGGGAUUUCGUGUGACCGGGAGUUCUGGCAUAUGGGUGCUCAUGUUAAAAAAAGUGCCCCCAAAUGCCCUGGUACGGCCGAGAGUGGGGAGAGUCUGCUCACCCUCU